rnacentral:rRNA from 1 species
AGAGUUUGAUCAUGGCUCAGAGCGAACGCUGGCGGCAGGCCUAACACAUGCAAGUCGAGCGCCGUAGCAAUACGGAGCGGCAGACGGGAGAGUAACACGUGGGAACGUGCCCUUCAGUUCGGAACAACCCAGGGAAACUUGGGCUAAUACCGGAUACAUCCGUAAGGAGAAAGAUUUAUCGCUGAAGGAUCGGCCCGCGUCUGAUUAGCUAGUUGGUGGGGUAAUGGCCCACCAAGGCGACGAUCAGUAGCUGGUCUGAGAGGAUGAUCAGCCUCACUGGGACUGAGACACGGCCCAGACUCCUACGGGAGGCAGCAGUGGGGAAUAUUGGACAAUGGGCGCAAGCCUGAUCCAGCCAUGCCGCGUGGGUGAUGAAGGCCCUAGGGUUGUAAAGCCCUUUCGGCGGGGAAGAUAAUGACGGUACCCGCAGAAGAAGCCCCGGCUAGCUUCGUGCCAGCAGCCGCGGUAAUACGAAGGGGGCUAGCGUUGCUCGGAAUCACUGGGCGUAAAGCGCACGUAGGCGGCUUUUUAAGUCAGGGGUGAAAUCCUGGAGCUCAACUCCAGAACUGCCUUUGAUACUGAGAAGCUUGAGUCCGGGAGAGGUGAGUGGAACUGCGAGUGUAGAGGUGAAAUUCGUAGAUAUUCGCAAGAACACCAGUGGCGAAGGCGGCUCACUGGCCCGGUACUG